UUAUUUUAUACUUUAACAUUGAUUUUAUUUUUUAUGUUUUUAGAUGUUCAUGUUUUUCAAUGUUUUAUUCAAAUAAUAUAAAAAAUAAAAUAUAUAUUGACAUGGAUUAAACAAAGAUAUAUAUUAUUCUAUGUUGUAUAAACAAAUUGGCAAAAUAGAGAUGGAAGAUAAAAAUAUGGUCAAAGUAAUAAGAGUC
rnacentral:misc_RNA from 1 species